rnacentral:tRNA from 1 species
CUGUGAGCAUAGUUUAACAAAAACACUAGAUUGUGAGUCUAAUGAUAAAAGCUCAGACCUUUUUGCUUACC